UAAUUUGAGAGUUUGAUCCUGGCUCAGGACGAACGCUGGCGGCGUGCCUAAUACAUGCAAGUCGAACGAACUCUGGUAUUGAUUGGUGCUUGCAUCAUGAUUUACAUUUGAGUGAGUGGCGAACUGGUGAGUAACACGUGGGAAACCUGCCCAGAAGCGGGGGAUAACACCUGGAAACAGAUGCUAAUACCGCAUAACAACUUGGACUGCAUGGUCCGAGUUUGAAAGAUGGCUUCGGCUAUCACUUUUGGAUGGUCCCGCGGCGUAUUAGCUAGAUGGUGGGGUAACGGCUCACCAUGGCAAUGAUACGUAGCCGACCUGAGAGGGUAAUCGGCCACAUUGGGACUGAGACACGGCCCAAACUCCUACGGGAGGCAGCAGUAGGGAAUCUUCCACAAUGGACGAAAGUCUGAUGGAGCAACGCCGCGUGAGUGAAGAAGGGUUUCGGCUCGUAAAACUCUGUUGUUAAAGAAGAACAUAUCUGAGAGUAACUGUUCAGGUAUUGACGGUAUUUAACCAGAAAGCCACGGCUAACUACGUGCCAGCAGCCGCGGUAAUACGUAGGUGGCAAGCGUUGUCCGGAUUUAUUGGGCGUAAAGCGAGCGCAGGCGGUUUUUUAAGUCUGAUGUGAAAGCCUUCGGCUCAACCGAAGAAGUGCAUCGGAAACUGGGAAACUUGAGUGCAGAAGAGGACAGUGGAACUCCAUGUGUAGCGGUGAAAUGCGUAGAUAUAUGGAAGAACACCAGUGGCGAAGGCGGCUGUCUGGUCUGUAACUGACGCUGAGGCUCGAAAGUAUGGGUAGCAAACAGGAUUAGAUACCCUGGUAGUCCAUACCGUAAACGAUGAAUGCUAAGUGUUGGAGGGUUUCCGCCCUUCAGUGCUGCAGCUAACGCAUUAAGCAUUCCGCCUGGGGAGUACGGCCGCAAGGCUGAAACUCAAAGGAAUUGACGGGGGCCCGCACAAGCGGUGGAGCAUGUGGUUUAAUUCGAAGCUACGCGAAGAACCUUACCAGGUCUUGACAUACUAUGCAAAUCUAAGAGAUUAGACGUUCCCUUCGGGGACAUGGAUACAGGUGGUGCAUGGUUGUCGUCAGCUCGUGUCGUGAGAUGUUGGGUUAAGUCCCGCAACGAGCGCAACCCUUAUUAUCAGUUGCCAGCAUUAAGUUGGGCACUCUGGUGAGACUGCCGGUGACAAACCGGAGGAAGGUGGGGAUGACGUCAAAUCAUCAUGCCCCUUAUGACCUGGGCUACACACGUGCUACAAUGGAUGGUACAACGAGUUGCGAACUCGCGAGAGUAAGCUAAUCUCUUAAAGCCAUUCUCAGUUCGGAUUGUAGGCUGCAACUCGCCUACAUGAAGUCGGAAUCGCUAGUAAUCGCGGAUCAGCAUGCCGCGGUGAAUACGUUCCCGGGCCUUGUACACACCGCCCGUCACACCAUGAGAGUUUGUAACACCCAAAGUCGGUGGGGUAACCUUUUAGGAACCAGCCGCCUAAGGUGGGACAGAUGAUUAGGGUGAAGUCGUAACAAGGUAGCCGUAGGAGAACCUGCGGCUGGAUCACCUCCUUU
rnacentral:rRNA from 1 species